UACAGAGGGGGCAAGCGUUAUUCGGAAUUAUUGGGCGUAAAGGCCGCGUAGGCGGCUUUGCAAGUGACGGGUGAAAUCCCUCGGCUUAACCGAGGAACUGCCUGUCAAACUGCAUGGCUUGAGACCGGGAGAGGUGAGUGGAAUUCCCAGUGUAGCGGUGAAAUGCGUAGAUAUUGGGAGGAACACCAGUGGCGAAAGCGGCUUCCUGGUCCAGCACCGACGUUCAGGCACGAAAGCGUGGGGAGCAAACAGG
rnacentral:rRNA from 1 species